UACGUAGGUGGCGAGCGUUGUUCGGAUUUAUUGGGCGUAAAGGGUCUGUAGGAGGUUUCUUAAAUUCGAGGUGAAAUCCCGGAGCUCAACUUCGGAACUGCCUUGGAGACUGGGAGACUAGAGUACUGGAGAGGUAAGCGGAAUACCAAGUGUAGCGGUGGAAUGCGUAGAUAUUUGGUAGAACACCAAGAGCGAAGGCAGCUUGCUGGACAGAAACUGACUCUGAGAGACGAAAGCGUGGGGAGCAAACAGGAUUAGAUACCCUGGUAGUCCACGCCGUAAACGGUGUCAACUUGAUGUGGGAGGAUUUAACCCCUUCCGUAUCGUAGCUAACGCGAUAAGUUGACCGCCUGGGGACUACGGCCGCAAGGCUAAA
rnacentral:rRNA from 1 species